ensembl:lncRNA
CUCCAAAAAACACCAUCUUUCAGAUCUUUUCUAUCCUCUGAUGGGAGAACUAAUAUUGUUUCAUCUAGAAUUUAUUUCUUUAACGUGAAAACCCUACAUGGAAGACAGUUAUGAAUCGUCCCCAGCCCAGAGCUGUUUGUCACGUGGGCACUGUUCACCAGCAGACCAUUUUAUGCUCAUCUGCCUCUCCUUUUGCUAAUGCUGGGACCGUUCUACUGCCUCAGAACCAUGAAUUCUGACAAUUAUCAGUUCUGGAGCCUUUAUUAUGUAAAAUGCUGAUAAACAAUGGCCAGCCCAAAACCCUCUCUCAAGUGGAUACUAUUCUCUUUUCAUUUCCUUUUCUCUGACCAUUGGUCUUUUCUGCUUCCUUUUUUCCAAUUUAUAUAUUCUGAAUACUAGACUCCUGUCUCUGUGAGUUCACAGAGACCUCUGACCAGAGUUCACCCCCUGACCUGAACUGAAAAACAGUCCUUUGGCUCCUGUGUCAAGCAGGUCUGCAUACAUCAGGGGAAAUAGCUGAAGUGCAAGGUCACCAACUUUGGGAGCGGAGAAAUCAAGAAGGAACAAUCCAUGACAUGGCAGACAAAUUACAGCCAUUUCUAGGCCGAAUGAACCUCCCUCUUCCUACCAGACUGCUACUAUUUAAAGAACUAGAAAGCAAUAAGAAGGAAAUGACAGAUUCUUUCUUAAGGAAACUGUUUUUGCACUGGCCUUCCUAGCAAAUUCAUGAAACCUACCAUCACCCUUGUGCUCGAUUAUUAUGGAAGUUUGUGUUAUUGACCCC